CUACGGGUUGCUGCAGUGAGGAAUAUUGCACAAUGGAGGAAACUCUGAUGCAGCAACGCCGCGUGGAGGAUGACGCAUUUCGGUGUGUAAACUCCUUUUAUAUGUCAAGAAAAUGACGGUAGCAUAUGAAUAAGCACCGGCUAACUCCGUGCCAGCAGCCGCGGUAAUACGGAGGGUGCAAGCGUUACUCGGAAUCACUGGGCGUAAAGGACGCGUAGGCGGGAUAUCAAGUCAGGUGUGAAAUCCUACAGCUUAACUGUAGAACUGCACUUGAAACUGGUAACCUAGAGUAUGGGAGGGGGAGAUGGAAUUAGUGGUGUAGGGGUAAAAUCCGUAGAUAUCACUAGGAAUACCUAAAGCGAAGGCGAUCUCCUGGAACAUAACUGACGCUAAGGCGUGAAAGCGUGGGGAGCAAACAGGAUUAGAUACCCGAGUAGUC
rnacentral:rRNA from 1 species